rnacentral:tRNA from 1 species
GCCUCUAUAGCUCAGUGGUAGAGCGUCGAUCAGUCUUGUACACUGAAGGUCUGUAGUUCGAUCCUGCAUGGAGGCA